UACGUAGGUGGCAAGCGUUGUCCGGAUUUAUUGGGUUUAAAGGGUGCGUAGGCGGUCAUAUAAGUCAGUGGUGAAAUACUUCAGCUCAACUGGAGAGGUGCCAUUGAUACUGUAUGACUUGAGUACAGACGAGGUAGGCGGAAUUGACGGUGUAGCGGUGAAAUGCUUAGAUAUCGUCAAGAACACCGAUAGCGAAGGCAGCUUACUAGACUGUAACUGACGCUGAUGCACGAAAGUGUGGGGAUCAAAC
rnacentral:rRNA from 1 species